GUAGAACGCUGAAGGAGGAGCUUGCUUCUCUGGAUGAGUUGCGAACGGGUGAGUAACGCGUAGGUAACCUGCCUGGUAGCGGGGGAUAACUAUUGGAAACGAUAGCUAAUACCGCAUAAUAGCAGUUGUUGCAUGACAGCUGUUUGAAAGGUGCAAUUGCACCACUACCAGAUGGACCUGCGUUGUAUUAGCUAGUUGGUGGGGUAACGGCCCACCAAGGCGACGAUACAUAGCCGACCUGAGAGGGUGAUCGGCCACACUGGGACUGAGACACGGCCCAGACUCCUACGGGAGGCAGCAGUAGGGAAUCUUCGGCAAUGGACGGAAGUCUGACCGAGCAACGCCGCGUGAGUGAAGAAGGUUUUCGGAUCGUAAAGCUCUGUUGUAAGAGAAGAACGAGUGUGAGAGUGGAAAGUUCACACUGUGACGGUAUCUUACCAGAAAGGGACGGCUAACUACGUGCCAGCAGCCGCGGUAAUACGUAGGUCCCGAGCGUUGUCCGGAUUUAUUGGGCGUAAAGCGAGCGCAGGCGGUUAGAUAAGUCUGAAGUUAAAGGCUGUGGCUUAACCAUAGUACGCUUUGGAAACUGUUUAACCUGAGUGCAAGAGGGGAGAGUGGAAUUCCAUGUGUAGCGGUGAAAUGCGUAGAUAUAUGGAGGAACACCGGUGGCGAAAGCGGCUCUCUGGCU
rnacentral:rRNA from 1 species